rnacentral:rRNA from 1 species
GACGAACGCUGGCGGCGUGCUUAACACAUGCAAGUCGAACGCUGAAGCUCAGCUUUUGUUGGGUGGAUGAGUGGCGAACGGGUGAGUAACACGUGAGUAACCUGCCCCCUUCUUUGGGAUAACGCCCGGAAACGGGUGCUAAUACUGGAUAUUCACUGGUCUUCGCAUGGGGGUUGGUGGAAAGGGUUUUUCUGGUGGGGGAUGGGCUCGCGGCCUAUCAGCUUGUUGGUGGGGUGAUGGCCUACCAAGGCUUUGACGGGUAGCCGGCCUGAGAGGGUGACCGGUCACAUUGGGAAUGAGAUACGGCCCAGACUCCUACGGGAGGCAGCAGUGGGGAAUAUUGCACAAUGGGCGCAAGCCUGAUGCAGCGACGCCGCGUGAGGGAUGGGGGCCUUCGGGUUGUGAACCUCUUUCGCUCAUGGUCAAGCCGCAACAAUGGUUGUGGUGAGGGUAGUGGGUAAAGAAGCGCCGGCUAACUACGUG